rnacentral:tRNA from 1 species
GGACACGUAGCUCAGCUGGCUAGAGCACCAAACUUAUAAUUUGGGGGUCGAUGGUUCGAGUCCAUCCGUGUCCACCA